CUUCUUCCGAAUCGUCUCCGUCAUGGUGCUGGAGGGUCCGCGGACAACGUGAAUGGCAAACGAUCCGGCUGGUGGUCGGCUGCUGCUGCUGCUGCUGUUGCUGCUGCUGCUGCUGCUGUUGCUGCUGCUGCUGCUGCUGUUGCUGCUGCUGCUGCUGUUGCUGCUGCUGCUGCUGCUGUUGCUGCUGCUGCUGUUGCUGCUGCUGCUGCGACCGGGGAACUCUCGUAAUGCACAA